AGUUACAUAACGGGGUGGUUCGAUGUAAUAUCGGGCCUGAGAAUAUACCCUUUGAACCUGAUCCGGAUAAUGCCGGCGGAGGGAUCUUCAAAAUCUGUUUC
rnacentral:ncRNA from 2 species